CCAGGGAGUGAUGGAGCCGCACGAAAUCCAUCGCAGGAGGUGGAGCAGUGUCGUGGCCGUCACUGCGGCCUGCCAGGGGGUGAUGGAGCCGCGCGGAAUCUGUAGCAGGAGGUGGAGCAGGGUCGUGGCUGUUGCUGCGGCCUACCAGUGGGCCUAGGCCUGUCGGUCGAAGUUCGGCUGGAGUGUCUGGCGGGGAGAGAUGGCUAGCCACCCAUCUGAGAGGAGCUCAGAGUCCGACUCCCGUAGG
rnacentral:lncRNA from 1 species